CAAAGCCCAAUUCCCUCAAGACUGCGCAGUUUGGCUCAUCACCAGAGAACCUGUGCCUCCUCUGAGACCAAGGCAUCACUUCAGUAACAGAUCAACUGCCGCAGCUGAGAAGGAGGUGAAUUUGAUAAAGAUAACAUGGAAGUUUUAGCAACAGGUCUGGGUGUUGCCAAGGGUGCUCUCCCAGAAGUUCUAGGCCUGACCAUGCAUGCUCCUGGCAGCUUCCUGAUUUCCCUGAUGGCUGGCCACAUCUUCCAGGAAGAUCUCACCUCCCCACUGAAGCCCCUGGCCUGGCCUCCUGCAGUGCCACGCUCCGUGUAUUUGACAAGCUGAGUUGGACACUCCAUGUGGUAGAGUGUCAGUUUGUCAAAUACCCCAAGUGCGGCACAUGCCUAGCAGCUUCAGGCCAGGGAAGUUGAGAUAUGACAAAUAGACUAUCAACUGGAUAAAAGAACACAUGUCAAAUAUCAACUAAGCUCUCACAAGUCAUUUUUGGUGAUUUUGAGGGAAUGGAAGCAUUGUAUCUGAGGGGAAGUGUGGAAAAGUAAGACAGCUCUGGAAGCCAUAGCCCUGGGCAGUGUCUAUACAUAUAUUGGGAUCCUGAGAGGGAUACAAUAGUCUUGAAAAGGUAUCCAGGGCCCAGGGAUGAAAGUGCUACUUGAUUCUUUACUUUCUUCCUUCACGCUUCCUUCCAGAGUCCCCCAGCAAGGACACCAGAAUUCUUACCCAAGCGUCAUGACAGGGCUUAGAAACUCACUUUCCUGACACUCAACUUUGGCUUCUAAGCACACUUUGACCUCACCUAUCUCUCUCCUUUUCCUCAUGCCUUUUCGCCUUCUGGGAAUACCAUCUUCAUUUCUUUCUGCCUAUCUAAUUCUUUCCCGUAUGUCCUGGUUCAGCCAAAGUCCAAUCUUUCCAGGGACUUCUGAAAGUCAAUGUACACUUUUUCCUUCUUUAUUCUCAAAGCACAUCUUCCCUGGGUCCUUGUAUGUAAACCUUUAUUUCCUACUGCCCAAUGACAGCCCUUGAAUUGUUAGUGAACUUUUUCAGAGGAUAUUUUUAAAUUCCCCACUAGAUUGUGUGCUUCUAGAGGACAAGAUUAUGUUUCCUUGAUUGCUAUCUCUCCAUUCCAUCCCUACCCCAGAUCCCAGCACAAUACUCUGAUUACAGAAAAUACUCAAUAAAUGUUUACUGAUUGA